rnacentral:lncRNA from 1 species
CAGCUUCUAGUUCUAGUAAUAUAACAGAGAAAUUAGAUCUCGAUCAGCUCCCUAAUGAAAUGCAUGAAAUGAGAAUUAGAGAUGAGAAAACUACUGGCCAUUAUGAUAAGGUGAUUCUGUGGUCUUAUAGUCUUCAAAAUGUCUCUGUACAUGUAUGUUGACGUUUUUACCUUGUCUUCAUAUCUAACUUGUUUUAUAAUUUAUAAUCAAGUAUGCUGGAAUGCCAUCCAUUUGAGAAGUUAUUCUUUUCAUACUUAUACUUAAAAGCUUUGAAGCUCUUGAUAUAAUCUGAAGCAAUUACUAGUUUCUAUCUUUUUUUAUGACUUCAAUUGAACCUUAGCAGGGAACCAAUCUAUCUCUUCUAGAAAUUUUGUGACCAACUUUCUGCAUAAUGUUAUUUGAUUAUUUGAAAUGAUUUAAAGCUAUCUAAAGUUAGCUUCCCUAAUUAUUUCUAAACCUAUUGCUUUGAAACUUGUAUUGCGCAGGAUGUUGGAUCUAAUGUUAUUAAUGGAAAUGGAACAGAAGCAGGUCAAAUAAUUACAACUGUUGUUGGUGGUCGAGGCGGGCAUCCAAAACAGGUGAUUUGAUUUUGGUUGACAUUUUGUUGCACAUUGUUAACUGCUAAUCUGAAAUAUGUUUAGCAGCCUAUGUGUGAACUAAUGUUGCUUGAUUCUUUUUCUUCUUGAAAAUUUCCCACUGCUUUUUUCCUUCUGGGUGGAGUGGGAAUUAAGUUUUUUUCUGUUAGGUUGUUUAAUCUAGGUUAUAUCUAAAAAAUGUUGCUGAAGCCAUAGUCAUGUUAGAAACUUGGUUUACAUGUUUGUAUUCCAUUGCAUUUGAUUACUAUGUUUGUAUUAAGCCGCAAUUAAUUCUUAACAAAGCAUCUUUUUCUAUUGUGCUCCAGACAAUCUCGUAUAUGGCUGAGCGUGUGGUUGGGACUGGUUCAUUUGGUGUCGUCUUUCAGGUAUGAGUAUAUUGACAUGUCAUCACCUUCUUGUCUAUAACCAUUUUCUCUUAGUGUUUGCAUUUAUCAAGUAUAUUUCUCUGAGUUAUAACACUUUAUGUUAUGAUGUAGGCUAAAUGCAUGGAGAGAGGUGAACCUGUUGCUAUAAAGAAGGUUCUGCAGGAUAAAAGAUACAAGAAUAGGGAGCUGCAGAUUAUGCAUCUACUUGAUCAUCCUAAUACAGUCCAAUUGAAGCACUAUUUCUUUUCAACCACCGAAAAGAAUGAGCUCUAUCUUAACCUUGUUCUGGAAUUUGUACCUGAAACAGUUUUCCGAGUUUCAAAACACUAUUGUAGAAUGAAUCGCCAUAUGCCCUUUUUUUAUGUACAGCUGUAUACAUACCAGGUGAUCCUUGACCUUGCCUAGCUUUAGCUAAUUAGUAGUGGGUUGUGAAAUUGUACUGGUUCAACUAUUGAUCUAACCAUUUCGUGUUGCUAUUCUAAGCGCACAUUAUGACAAGCUAUACUGCUUUUCUCUCUCUCUCUCUCUUUCUUUCUCUCUUUUCUUCUUUUGUAGAUAUGUCGUGCUCUAAAUUAUUUACACCGUGUGGUUGGUGUAUGCCAUCGUGAUAUUAAGCCACAAAAUUUACUGGUAAGACAUUUUUGCAUUUAUGUUAUGAACUGGUGAUUGAUAUUAAGAAGUACUUCAAUUUCUUGUUUGAGAAUUUUACCUAUCACCUCGACUUGACAAUUUUUUUCAUCUUGAAUGCGCUAUAAUACGUGACACUGCGGUGUAAUGCUGGUCAGUCAUAAUGCUUAUUCAAGGAUUUCUUUGUGUGCACGCAUGAUUUAAUGUGUCUUCUCUUCACUGUGAUAUAUAGUUGACUUCAACAUGUCAUUGCUUUUGUUCUUAUAAUGAUUGGUUUUAUUAAAUGGUAAAAGCAUAUUGGAGCUAAUGUUUGGAUGAUUUGCAGGUCAAUCCCCAGACUCACCAUCUCAAGAUAUGUGAUUUUGGCAGUGCGAAGAUGUUGGUAUGUUUAAAUUUUUCGGAAGUUUGAAAAUCCUUUUUUCUGGUUUGUAAAACUUUUGAGACUUACUCUGCAAUCCUUAGGUGCCAGGUGAACCCAACAUAUCAUAUAUAUGCUCACGAUUUUAUAGGGCUCCAG